ACCUUCCCCUGACUUUGUGACUGAGCUUCCAGAAACGUGUCAGGGAGUUUCUAGGAAGGAGGCCAGAAAUCAUGCAGUUAGCAAGGGAGAUCCAGCUGUGCCCACCCCAGCCUGAGAGUUUUAUUCACUUCUUCUGCAGGGAUCAUUUUCAGCUGUUCAAAAAGUUUCCUACUGUUUCACCUCAAUGGGGACUUUACUUGCUUUUCUGUGCAGGUUCUCUAUUAGUUAACAUGUUCCUCUACCCCAUUUAACUUUUGAAGUGUGGGGCCUCUGAAUGACAAAAUGGAUGGUGUCUUCCAAUAUCAAAAUGGAGUCUUACUUAUGAUAAGUAGUUUAACAAUUUUCUGAGAGUACUGAGUUGCUUUAGGAAGACCAAGUGGUUGGGUUUCAAGAGAGAUACCAAGUUAAAGGAAUUCACAUCAUUAUAUCUCGCAGAGGACAAAGCCUAGAACUUUCUACAUUCAAGUCAGUGAAUAUUGGGGAGUGGGGAAUCCAUGAAUUCAUUAUGUGGAGGCAAUUUUAAUUCAGGAGAUGGAAACCAACAUAAUAUAGAUCUGUUGUGGCUUCAGCAUCAGGAAACAACACACUGUUCAUGACAUCAAACUCCAGAGGAAGCCGGCUAAGGAUGUGCUUGUUUUGAUGUGACAUGUGCCUACGAUGAUUAACUCUCGUGCUCCCACAAUCUCUCCAGAGCCACAGACUUGGUCCUUCCUCGCCUGUAAACAGGAUCAGGAUGCAUCCUGGAGUUCAGCCAAGGGCAUCUGGCCUUGGAAGAAGAAAGUUCCUCUGAGAUUAAGACUGAGAAAGGUCUUAAAAGCCAAGACUCCAAAUGGCAUCAGGAAACCCAGGCUCUUCAAAAUAUGCAGUGAAAAAUGAAACCCUUGCAAGACGAGACAUUUGAUAAAGAAGAAAACAUCAAAUUUUCUUGAAGCUUUCCUCUCACUGUAACUCUGCCUCCUUGGAUCGAAGCUACGGAGAAGAAUGCAGCCUGCGGGUGCUCAUGCCUGAGAAUCAUCUCCCCUUCUCCACCUGCUGAGCUAUGUCUAAAUAGACAUCCUCUACCUUUGACCCAAAACUUUCUGUUCCUGAAGAGAAAGAACAUUCUUGUCAUAUCAAGAGUUCUGGGAUAUUCUGGGAGCAGUUUAGAGCUUUCAAUCAGUAUAAAGUUUCUCUUCUCAUGAAAAGAUCUUGCCACAGGGGAUGAGAAACAAGCUAUUGAGCAUCUAAUAUAUGUGUAUACCAUGCUAAUCAAUUUUACAUACUUCAUUCUAUUUAAUUAACAGAACCACCCUCCAAGGAAGUCUUAACCCCCUCAAUUAAGUAGAUUAAAAACAAACGUCUUGGAGAAGAUAAGGUGAUUGAGCUUGUAAGACAGCCAUGCCUUUUGCACUAAACUACACAGACCUAACCCCUGUACAUAUAUCUGCCUUCCAUUCCCAACAUCUCUUGGUAGGGGUCUUCCAGGGAUCUCCUAGAAAUGUACUUAAUAAUUGGUUCUUCCAUUAUUUUUCCACCAUUGAACUUGAAGAAGAUGUGACUGGGGAAUAAAGGUGAAGCCAAGCAUGAGAAGGUAGAUCUGAAACAGGAAUGUUAGACAUGGAAUACAAGAGGAAGAGCAAGAGUAAGCAAGAUAGAUAAUCCUGUAAUCCUUCACAUGGGAGGAAAGGUUGUAGUAACAACUCCAUUCUAACAAGCACAGAUAGUACACAGGUUGUUUUUCAUUAAACUUGUGAGAGAAAGAGACACAUCUCUAGAUAUAUUAUUGGAGUGGUUAAAAAUGUCUUCAUGAAAACAGAACUGAAAGCCUAACACAUUCACGCCUAGGCCAAAGAAUGUCUAGAUGAGAUGGCCACUGUGAGAUAAACUGCAGUCUUCCACAGUGGACUAUGUUUGUCCUUUAUUUAAAAAAAAAAAAAGAAUCUAAUAUGGGUGUUUUUUUUUUCCUGUACUUAUCCUUACUGACAUUUUUACAACAGGUUUUAUGUGGUUAUCUGCUUAUUUAUAAUAUACACACGAAUAAUUCAUUUCCUCAAUGCAUCUACAUUCCUUAAAAAGCCACAUGUACUAUUAAAACGUUAGUCAUCGGUUUUUCAUGGUUGAUAAAGCCACUAACAAUGAGUUCUGAUGAGAUAGAAUCACCUGUGGCACAAUUUCCCCAAAUGUUUCUCAGUAAAGCACAUUCACCAUAUACAGAUUGUAGUAACAGACUCAGAGCAAAAUAAUAUUGCAACUGUUACGUUUUCCAAGGAACUGAAUAAUUGUUUUACCUAAGUAAAUGAGUAACAUUGCCCAGUCCUGGAGAUUAAAAUUUUCCAAAUUCAUUCUGACUCAAAAUUGGCAAAUAUGUAUAUAAAAAUAAAUUUAAAAUGUGCACAUAUUCAUUACAGUCUUUAAAAAUUGCACUGGGUAGAAGCAGGACAUGAAGUGUGGCCCAGUAGUCUAGAUUUCCAUUUAUUUAGGAGAGGGUUUGCCGUGAUCUAGCAUGGGAGCUACAACCUAACAAAACCAGAUCUGUUAGAAUGCCUUGGCACAAGCUUUGUCUAGCUAUUGGUAAAGCCAAAACAUCUCAAUUUCAGCUUUUCCCAUUCAAACACUACCUUUAGUUAGAUUUAUUAAAGGCAAGAGUUAACUACAUUGUUUUAAAUGUAGAAGACUAAGGCUACAACCUAUGUUGUGUAGACCCCCAGAGAAAGAGUUUAGGUCAUUUUGUUGUUGCUGUUGUCCUUAACGACAUGCCAACUGUCAGAUCCCAAGGCUGUGAGAUGCUCUCCAAGGGAGUGAGAGGGAGGUGAGGUGGUGGGGACUGAAUAGUGGGCCAAUGAAAACCUAACCAAGUGCCAUGUUGGCACCUAGACUGGGGCCAAUUCUGUGGGUGUUGGAGGAGGGAUUGAUAGAAACAAGAGAAAAAAUAAAACUCCACCUUCUUCAGACCAGUAAAAGUUAAAAGCUUGUAACACUGUCACCCCAUGGAAGUCAACGGAUAGUGGACCUUCAGAUGGUUUUGCUGAAAGGAGAUGACGAGGAAGCAAAACUAAUAGUGAAGACAUAAGACACCAUGCUUGUUUUUGUCUCUCUCCCAUAAGACCCAAGGAGAACAGGACCAAAGCCCUGAGGAAAGAGGUCAAACAGUGCUUCCACUGAAAAGAGAGAAGGAUUCUUCUCCUACAAGGUAGUCUAUUUUUAUUCCUCAUUUACACACUUAGAGUUUAUUGUUUUAAGUUAAAAUAUACAAUGAAUCCUUCAUUUGAAGGCACACUAAUUGGUCAGUAUUCACUGUUUAAAAUUUUUUCAUCUUUUUCUAGUAAUUUGUUAUUGUGGUAAAAUUGCAUAACAUUAAAAUUACAUUUUUACCACUUAAAAGUAUGCAGUCCAGAAGCAUUAAGUACAUUCACAUUGUUGUAUAAACAUCACCACUAUCUAUGUCCAGAACUUUUCAUCUUUCUAAACUAAAACGCUGUGCCUACUAAACAAUAACUUCAUAUUUCCCUCUGCCCCCAGCCCCUGCCAACAUUUAUUCUACUUUCUGUUCCUAUAAAAUUGGACUACCCUAUGUACCUCACAUAUGUAGAAUCAUACAGUAUUUGUCCUUUAUGUCUGUUUUAUUUCACUUAGCAUAAUGUCUUCAACAUUCAUCCAUGUUGUAGCAUGUGUCAGAAUUUCAUUCCUUUAUAGAGCUGAAUAAUAGGAGUAUUCUCCUUCCUAUAAAAAUAUAUCUUUACCAUUUAUCUGUUCUCUGCCCUUGAAUAUGUCAAUAAAUCUUUCUUAGCCUCAGUUUCUUCAUCUGAAAAAUGGAGAAAAUAAAUUACCUACCUCACUAGGCCUUUGUUAAGGAUUAAAUUAAGUAAUUCGUGUUAAUCAUUAGCACAAUACUUAAAAAUACAUAAGGGCUCAUCAAGAGGCAGCAUUUAUUGUUGAUGUUGUUAUGGUUGUUGUUACCAUUGUUAUUAUUAGCUUAGAAGUUGUCACAAGUUUUUUUUGUUUUUUGUUUUUAUUUUAUUUUAUUAUUAUUAUACUUUAAGUUUUAGGGUACAUGUGCACAAUGUGCAGGUUUGUUACAUAUGAUAUAUACGUGUGCCAUGUUGGUGUGCUGCACCCAUUAACUCAUCAUUUAGCAUUAGGUAUAUCUCCUAAUGCUAUCCCUCCCCCCUCCCCCCACCCCGCAACAGUCCCCAGUGUGUGAUGUUCCCCUUCCUGUGUCCACGUGUUCUCAUUGUUCAAUUCCCACCUAUGAGUGAGAACAUGCGGUAUACUAUGCAGCCAUAAAAAAUGAUGAGUUCGUGUCCUUUGCAGGGACAUGGAUGAAACUGGAAAUCAUCAUUCUCAGCAAACUAUCACAAGGACAAAGUCACAAGUUUUUAAAGCAAGAAUAUAACACUGCAGAAUUUUGCAAACUCUUUUAGCAAAACCAUUGGCUUCCUAAUGGUCAAAUAAAUGUAUCCGUGCAUUUGGAACACCACAUAAAUUGGUAGACUUUUGAGCCUAGAAAUUUCCCUAAGACAUGGUGACAAUAUUAGAUGAUCACUAACAAAGUUAAAUAGCCUCAUGGAAGUUCUAUUAAACACCUAUAAAUAUGCAAGAAAAAAUAAACUUCCUGAAAGAAUGAAAGAGCUACCACAAAAUGUUUCCAGUUCCUGAGUAGAGGCAGGUGAAUCAGGUAAGGAUGAAGUUGAUUGUGCAUGUCUGCCUCCAUCUUUGAAUCAUGAGGUAAUUGGGUGUAUUCAUGAUAGGAAUUUUUCUUUCUCCAGCCAAAACCAAGCUGGUAAUUACAAGUGCCCAAACCACAAUCUGGACACAGCCUGUGACACAAUCUGGACACAGCCAGGUCUGAGAUCAGACUUGGAAAGGCCCUUCCCUCCAUCUGAAAAAUGCCUUUGCUAGUCAGAAGAAGCUAACAGGGAGAACACCACCACAUUCCCUGAUCUUCCAUGGGAUCCUCAAGACCAGGGGCACCAGGGGUGUCCUUGAUUACAUUGUUCAGGAAACCAAUGAGGGAACGUCUUGGCUUCUUUAUAGAAACUACAUAAUAUAGAAGAAAAAAGCGAAACACAGCCAACAAACAAAAAUUCUGAUAAGUCCUUUUGAAGGACAAUACACAAAAGCUCAGUUGAAGCUUCCACACAUAGACAUGCAUUUUUCAUUUUUCUUCUUGGAGAUGAACUUCUAUGUGUCUACUUUAUUUGUACUUGGGCUCCAAAAUCAUGUAUCCUUUCCUCUUGCUGUAGGCAGUUACAUGACGUCUUAAGACUACUUGGGCUGUCAUAACAAAAAUACAAUAAACUGGGUGGCUUCAAUAAUAAACAUUUAUUUCUCACAGUUAUGUAGGCUAGAAAGUCCAAGAUCAAGGCACAGGCAGACUCCAUGUCCAGCGAAGGCCUAUUUCCUCGUUCACACAUGGCUGUCUUCUCACUGUGUCCACACUUGGCAGAAAGGUGAAGGAGCUCUCUGGGGUCUCUUUUAUAAGAGCACUAAUUCCAAUCAUGAGGGCUCUAUCUUCAUGGCUUCAUUACUUUCCUAUCAAGAGUCCCUACCUCCUGAUGCCAUCACCUUGGGCGUUAGGAUUUUGCCAUAUAAAUUUGGGGGACACAAACAUUUGGUCCAUAACAGGUGGCAUACUAUUUGAAAGUAGAGCUGUAUUUAUCUAAAUAUUACUUGGUGGACAGAUCAGAGAGGGAGUAUCAUACCUAGCACCCUGGCCCACAGAAGUUUUUUCCAAAGGUUUAUGUAAAACUCUGAAGUGAAAAAUUCCAAAAAUUGUUUAAACAAUAGUCACUUGAUUUCAGACAGUAUGCAGACUUUCAAGAAGAAUAACUUGAAGCUUCCAUUCUGACAUACUGGUUAAGCUCUCCAUCUCACUGUCUUAGGCUUAGCAGCACCCCCUUGCCAGUUGUCAUUCCUGUGACUGCUAGCUCCGAAAGGAAAAGGCGGGAGAUGAGGAUUCUGGUCUAAGGGUGAAAGAAUUAUGCAAAGUUUCUUGCCUCAAAGGACACAGGAAUUUUGUAAUUCUUUUGAACACUUUUACCAAAUGUCAAAUUUCCCCAAAGCUGGAUGAAGAAGGAAGGGAAAAGAACUGACAUUUAUUUGA